rnacentral:rRNA from 1 species
AUGCUGCUGCUUAAUCCGGCGUCCGAGGCGGCGGCGGCGGCGCUGGACAGCAUCCGGCAGCAGCUCCUGGAGGAGCCAAUGGCGCCGGCGCGGCCGGCGUACUGCCGGAGCGCGAGCUUCGGCAGCCUGGUGGCGGACCAGUGGAGCGAGUCUCUCCCGUUCCGGCCCAACGACGCCGACGACAUGGUCGUCUACGGUGCCCUCCGCGACGCCUUCUCCUGCGGCUGGCUCCCCGACGGCUCCUUCGCGGCCGUCAAGCCCGAGCCCCUGCCCUCCCCCGACUCCUACGACGGCUGCUGCCUCGGCAGCUUCCUCGCGUCGCCGCCCGGGCUGGACGCGCCGUGGGCGGAGGAGGCCGAGGUCGCAGCGACGGCGUCAAGGGGGAAGCACUUCAGAGGCGUGAGGCAGCGGCCGUGGGGCAAGUUCGCGGCGGAGAUCCGGGACCCAGCCAAGAACGGCGCGCGCGUGUGGCUCGGCACCUUCGACAGCGCCGAGGACGCCGCUGUGGCGUACGACCGCGCCGCCUACCGCAUGCGCGGCUCCCGCGCGCUCCUCAACUUCCCGCUCCGCAUCGGCUCGGAGAUCGCCGCAGCCGCGGGUCAGAAGCGUCCGUCUCCCCAGCCAGCGAGCCCCGACUCUCCUCCUCCCUCCUCCAGCGCACCCGGGUCGUCGAAGCGGAGAAAGAGAGGCGAGGCCGCAGCAGAGUCCAUGUCCAUGGCUCUGGUGCCGCCCCCGCCGGUGCAGGCUCCGGUCCAGCUGACCCUCCCAGUCCAGCCGUGGCUCGCCACCGGCGCCGUCCAGCAGCUAGUGAGCUGA